rnacentral:rRNA from 1 species
GACGAACGCUGGCGGCGUGCUUAACACAUGCAAGUCGAACGGAAAGGCUCCAGCUUGCUGGAGUACUCGAGUGGCGCACGGGUGAGUAACACGUGGGUAAUCUGCCCUGCACUCUGGGAUACGCCUGGGAAACUGGGUCUAAUACUGGAUAUGACCUUUCUCCUUAUGGGGUUUGGUGGAAAGUUUUUCGGUGUAGGAUGAGCCCGCGGCCUAUCAGCUUGUUGGUGGGGUGAUGGCCUACCAAGGCGACGACGGGUAGCCGGCCUGAGAGGGUGAUCGGCCACAUUGGGACUGAGAUACGGCCCAGACUACUACGGGAGGCAGCAGUGGGGAAUAUUGCACAAUGGGCGGAAGCCUGAUGCAGCGACGCCGCGUGAGGGAUGACGGCCUUCGGGUUGUAAACCUCUUUCAGCAGGGACGAAGCGUAAGUGACGGUACCUGCAGAAGAAGCACCGGCUAACUAUGUG